rnacentral:rRNA from 1 species
GGAAUAUUGGACAAUGGGGGAAACCCUGAUCCAGCAAUGCCGCGUGAGUGAUGAAGGCCUUAGGGUUGUAAAGCUCUUUCGGCGGGGAAGAUGAUGACGGUACCCGCAGAAGAAGCCCCGGCUAACUUCGUGCCAGCCGCCGCGGUAAUACGAAGGGGGCUAGCGUUGUUCGGAAUUACUGGGCGUAAAGGGCUCGUAGGCGGCCGACUAAGUCAGACGUGAAAUCCCUCGGCUCAACCGGGGAACUGCGUCUGAUACUGGCCGGCUUGAAUCCGGGAGAGGGAUGCGGAAUUCCAGGUGUAGCGGUGAAAUGCGUAGAUAUCUGGAGGAACACCGGUGGCGAAGGCGGCAUCCUGGACCGGCAUUGACGCUGAGGAGCGAAAGCCAGGGGAGCAAAC